AUUGAACGCUGGCGGCAUGCCUAACACAUGCAAGUCGAACGGAGAUAGGGGCAACCUUAUUUCAGUGGCGGACGGGUGAGGAAUGCGUCGGAAUCUGCCCUAUGGUGGGGGAUAACACAGGGAAACUUGUGCUAAUACCGCAUAAUGUCGAGAGACCAAAGCAGGGGACCGCAAGGCCUUGCGCGAUAGGAUGAGCCGACGCCCGAUUAGCUUGUUGGUAGGGUAAUGGCCUACCAAGGCGACGAUCGGUAGCUGGUCUGAGAGGAUGAUCAGCCACACUGGGACUGAGACACGGCCCAGACUCCUACGGGAGGCAGCAGUGGGGAAUAUUGGACAAUGGGCGCAAGCCUGAUCCAGCAAUGCCGCGUGUGUGAAGAAGGCCUGCGGGUUGUAAAGCACUUUUGUUCGGGAAGAAAUACAUGUCGGUUAAUACCCGAUGUGGAUGACGGUACCGAAAGAAUAAGCACCGGCUAACUUCGUGCCAG
rnacentral:rRNA from 1 species